rnacentral:rRNA from 1 species
AGAGUUUGAUCCUGGCUCAGAUUGAACGCUGGCGGCAUGCCUAACACAUGCAAGUCGAACGGAAACGAUGCUAGCUUGCUAGCAGGNGUCGAGUGGCGGACGGGUGAGUAAUGUAUAGGAACUUACCUAGUAGUGGGGGACAACGUGUGGAAACGCACGCUAAUACCGCAUAAUCUCUACGGAGGAAAGCAGGGGAUCUUCGGACCUUGUGCUACUAGAUGGGCCUAUAUCGGAUUAGCUAGUUGGUAAGGUAAAGGCUUACCAAGGCGACGAUCCGUAGCUGGUUUGAGAGAAUGAUCAGCCACACUGGGACUGAGACACGGCCCAGACUCCUACGGGAGGCAGCAGUGGGGAAUAUUGCACAAUGGAGGAAACUCUGAUGCAGCAAUGCCGCGUGUGUGAAGAAGGCCUUAGGGUUGUAAAGCACUUUCA